GAUGAAGAACGUAGCGAAAUGCGAUAAGUAAUGUGAAUUGCAGAAUUCAGUGAAUCAUCGAAUCUUUGAACGCACAUUGCGCCCCUUGGUAUUCCGAGGGGCAUGCCCGUUCGAGCGUCAUUAUACCCCUCAAGCCUAGCUUGGUGUUGGGGCCUGCUGUUACCGGCAGCCCUUAAAAUCAGUGGCGGUGCCAUCUGGCUCUAAGCGUAGUAAUACUUCUCGCUACAGGGUCCCGGUGGCUGCUUGCCAUCAACCCCUAAUUUUCUAUGGUUGACCUCGGAUCGGGUAGGGAUACCCGCUGAACUUAAGCAUAUCAAUAAGCGGAGGA
rnacentral:misc_RNA from 1 species